rnacentral:rRNA from 1 species
AGAGUUUGAUCAUGGCUCAGAUUGAACGCUGGCGGCAGGCCUAACACAUGCAAGUCGAGCGGUAACACAGGGAGCUUGCUCCUGGGUGACGAGCGGCGGACGGGUGAGUAAUGUCUGGGAAACUGCCUGAUGGAGGGGGAUAACUACUGGAAACGGUAGCUAAUACCGCAUAAUGUCGCAAGACCAAAGAGGGGGACCUUCGGGCCUCUUGCCAUCAGAUGUGCCCAGAUGGGAUUAGCUAGUAGGUGAGGUAAAGGCUCACCAAGGCGAUGAUACAUAGCCGACCUGAGAGGGUGAUCGGCCACAUUGGGACUGAGACACGGCCCAAACUCCUACGGGAGGCAGCAGUAGGGAAUCUUCGGCAAUGGACGAAAGUCUGACCGAGCAACGCCGCGUGUAUGAAGAAGGCCUUCGGGUUGUAAAGUACUUUCAGCGAGGAGGAAGGCAUUAAGGUUAAUAACCUUGGUGAUUGACGUUACUCGCAGAAGAAGCACCGGCUAACUCCGUGCCAGCCGCCGCGGUAAUAC